GGAUUUCAAAACAAUUAUUAUGAAAUCAUAAAAUUAAAACCUAACUCCAAGAUCACCUUAUCAGAAAUUAAACCAUAUAAUAUGCAUUAAUAUCAAAUAAAAGAUAUAGAAACAUACCUCUUAUCGCUAAACCCUGAUUUGUGCUUAGUUGCCGGCAGCAAUCUGUUUGAGUUUCCACCAGGUGCCCACGUGUUCACCCUC
rnacentral:lncRNA from 1 species